rnacentral:rRNA from 1 species
UCAAUACGAAGCCUUUGGUUUUGUAAUUGAAUUGAGAACAAUGUACAAUCGUUAUCGAUAAACAAUUGGAGGGCAAGUCUGGUGCCAGCAGCCGCGGUAAUUCCAGCUCCAAUAGCGUAUAUUAACGUUGUUGCAGUUAAAAAGCUCGUAGUUGAAGUUUAGAUAAUUUAUUGAAAGUGUUUGUAUUCGUACAUUCUACUUUUAUGUAAGUUAUCGACAUCCAGGUGGGUGCUAUGAUUCCUUCGGGGGUUAGGGUACUAGACUGGUCAUUUACUGUGAGAAAAUUAGAGUGUUUAAAGCAGACUUUUAUUCAGUUUGAAUAGAUUAGCAUGGAAUAAUAAGAUUGGCUUUCAUAGUCGAUUUUUUGGUUUGUUUAUGAAAGCAAGAUUAAUAGGGACAGUUGGGGGUAUUCAUAUUCAAUAGCUAGAGGUGAAAUUCUAUGAUUUAUGGAA